rnacentral:rRNA from 1 species
UAAUACGAAGGGGGCUAGCGUUGCUCGGAAUCACUGGGCGUAAAGCGCACGUAGGCGGAUUGCUAAGUCAGGGGUGAAAUCCUGGAGCUCAACUCCAGAACUGCCUUUGAUACUGGCGAUCUUGAGUCCGGGAGAGGUGAGUGGAACUGCGAGUGUAGAGGUGAAAUUCGUAGAUUUUCGCAAGAACACCAGUGGCGAAGGCGGCUAUCUGGACGGUUUCUGACGCUAAGACGCGAAAGCGUGGGG